rnacentral:pre_miRNA from 1 species
AGUGGAAUUGCUGGGUUAUAUGGUACUCAUUUCCUUUUGAGGAACUGUCGGACUGUUUGCCAGAGAGACUGCACCAUUUUACAUUCCCAGCAGCAGU